rnacentral:lncRNA from 1 species
CUCGGAUAUCUGCUAUUACCACACGCUAAGCAAUCAGAACACGAGAUAACAACGACAAAGUAUAAAAAUCGUAAAAAGAGAGCAAAGAGAAGUCUUAUUCAGAAUUUGCUUAUGAGCAUUUACAAUAAGGUAUAAGCCUGGGCUCGAGAGCUGUUGGCGAUAUUCCUAGUUCUAGCAACCCUAAGACGGCUAAACCUAAUUGAGUAGCAGCUCGAAAUAACAAAAACAAAAAGUUUGCCUAAUUGCUCUAAAUGCUAAGUUUGUUGUGUCAAAGUUGUAACCUCAUGCCUCUCGCCUAGGACUCCUUAUAUACUCGCUCCUAGGUCGGCUUACGCUUUUCCCCUUCUGCC